rnacentral:rRNA from 1 species
GCAGCAGGCGCGAAACCUCUGCAAUAGGCGAAAGCUUGACAGGGUUACUCUGCAGUGAUUUCCGUUAAGGAGAUCUUUUGGCACCUCUAAAAAUGGUGCAGAAUAAGGGGUGGGCAAGUCUGGUGUCAGCCGCCGCGGUAAUACCAGCACCCCGAGUGGUCGGGACGUUUAUUGGGCCUAAAGCAUCCGUAGCCGGUUCUACAAGUCUUCCGUUAAAUCCACCUGCUUAACAGAUGGGCUGCGGAAGAUACUAUAGAGCUAGGAGGCGGGAGAGGCAAGCGGUACUCGAUGGGUAGGGGUAAAAUCCGUUGAUCCAUUGAAGACCACCAGUGGCGAAGGCGGCUUGCCAGAACGCGCUCGACGGUGAGGGAUGAAAGCUGGNGGAGCAAACCGGAUUA